GACAGAGGGUGCAAACGUUGUUCGGAAUUACUGGGCGUAAAGCGAGUGUAGGCGGUUUGGUAAGUCGGAUGUGAAAGCCCUGGGCUCAACCCAGGAAGUGCACUCGAUACUGCCAAGCUAGAGUAUCGGAGAGGUUGGUGGAAUUCUCGGUGUAGAGGUGAAAUUCGUAGAUAUCGAGAGGAACACCGGUGGCGAAGGCGGCGAUCUGGACGAUGACUGACGCUGAGACGCGAAAGCGUGGGGAGCAAACAGG
rnacentral:rRNA from 1 species